GCUGAUCCCUGGCUGUGGAGAGGAUUCUCCCGAGCCCCUGAAAAAAAAAAAAGGUGGAGAGACUUUGAAAACUUUUCUCUCGAAAAGUCUGAGGAGGCAGAGGACGGCCCGGAGUCUCGUAGCGCACCGCCCUGGUCCCACACCCCCCGCAGCCCUAGGAGGAUCGGUGUGCUGAGCUUGUGGCCAGGAGCUCCCCGAGCCACUUUCGCGCGAGCAGCAGAAAACCUGAGCCGCGGCCCGGCGAGUGUCGGCGGCGCUCUGGGGAGGAGAGGCUGGGAAGGGGCUGCGAGAGGUACGGAGGAGACAAGCAGCCCGGGAGGGAGAAUGAACCGGGAGGUUCCUGUACUCCCCCCGCCACCCCAGAUCCUCGUGCUACUCGCAACUGCGGUCUGAGGGGCAGUGGCUUUCCCAGAGUGCACAGAGAAAUGAACCAGCGCCGGUUUUGGUGUUGGGCGAGGGGUUUCCCUCAGCUGAGCACAAAGUCAGGCUGUGUGUCCCAGAUUCUGGCCAAUGGAGAGGUCGUUGAGGGGGUGGGCUGCUGCUGAGUCCUGAGAGAUUCAAAACGCCUGGGCAGCUCAGGAAUUUCCAAAGGGGGAGAUUCUCGGCCAGGAGCUGCGGAGCAACUGCAGCUGCCCAGCAGGAGCCGGCACCCUUCUCUCACAUUCUGCUUGGGAGUCGACUCAGAGGCCUCAAAUCUCAUUACUAGCACUUUGCCCACCCUUUUCUUUUGCUUAGAUGCUACUUAAGAACGUGAGGCUGAGAGGCGGACUUGGUCAGAUCUGCCUGCGUGACAAGCUCAGGACAGGACGCUUCUGCCCUUGCAUUACUGUUGUAAAAGUUUCCACCCAGUCCCUGGUCGCACUGCGUUCCCAUCCCGGCAGAUGUGAACUCAAAAACUUCCUCCGCUGUGCAGUUUCAAUUGGCAGACACACCCUGUACCUGAAUGACUCAGAAGGAGGCAGAAUGAACAAACAACAGACCCCUGACUUCUGGGAUUUUGUGAGUUUGCCAAAAAAAAAAAAAAAAGAAGUGACAGUUAAUUCACAGCUGUUUUAAAGCAUUCAUCGACAGCGACGCACCCAAUACAUACCCACAGCUUCAACAACAGUACAGUGCAUAUAAUGUGGAAACCAAGAUAACGGUCCUCUAAGACUCCAGAGUAGAUCCUAAUUGGAUUUGAAGACUUAUUUCACUUAAAGGGGAAGAGGUAUAUUGUGUCUACCCAGCACAACAAAACGGGGGACUUGGCAUUCCCCCCCUUCUCCCGCCUCCACCCACACUAAUUUAUGCAUUCUUUAAAGCCAAAGGAAUCAAAGUGAAAUUUCACACCUAGUCUGUAUCAAGCAUGUGCUAGGUUAAUUUAACCUUACUGCUCUGUGAAGUAAGUAAGCAUUGCUGGCCAUUUUAUUGUUGAGAGAAGUGUCAUUCAGACAACUAAGGUGACUUGUAGAUUUCCCAGCUAGUGAGUGGCAGAGCUGGGUUCCAAAACCUAAAUAUUGCAAAUGCCUUGCCUUGUGGCUCAAACGCUAUCAGUCAAUAAAUAGUUAAGGAAUUGAAAUAUAUGUUCCUAGAGGGAAACAGACUUCUAGAUUUAAAGUUUUACAUUUGCUGCAUUUCUGACUGUACAAGUCUACAAAAUGCAUAUAAAAGUAUGCUAAUGAAUGUCCUUUUAAAACCACUCAUUUUCUACGUAAGCAUACAAAGUGUAUACAUAUGCAUAUUAAUGAAUGUUUUCUGAAACUUCUCAUUGUCUGCCUAUGAUAUCUCAUGUAACAUUGUACUUUUAGUAUUUGCACAUAGUGUUACACAUAUUAAUCCAUUUAAUCUGACAAGUUAGGCACUAUAAUUAUUCUAAUUUUACAAACAAGGAAAUUGACUCCCAGACAUAUUAAGCAGCUUGCUUAAUGUGGGACAGGCUGCAGACUCUUAACCACUACUCCAGACCACCAUGAUAAACCUCAAACAGGUUCAAGAAUUUCCUUGGGGAUAUCAGUUGUUUUCUUGUGAAUACCACUGGUUUUUAACAUUCAAUAUUGAUAAAGUGUUUUACAGAGUCCAAAAA
rnacentral:lncRNA from 10 species